CCUCUCAUAAUUAGAACCCUACUCCCUUCCCCAUUCAAGACCUAGACCUAAGUGAUAGAGAUAGACCCUCCCCACUCUGAAAAGAACAAAAAUGACACUCUCAUCUGGAAGAAGCUCUCAUCUUCAACAGUGCAACCAUGACCCCUCCCCUUUAAUCCUCUAAAAGGAAACGCAGCAGCGGCGCAAGAGAGGGCCAAAAAAUGGGAAAAUCAAUCUCUUCUUCUUCUCCGUCUUCUUCACUCUCUCUAAUGGUCGUCACGGCCGACUCAUGUCAGUGACCAUCGACGACCACACUGCACCCCUGCUCUUCCUCUCUCAUUCUCACCAGCGAGUUAAGGCCAGAAUCCGGCCAGCCACCGAACCCCCAUGAUUUCCUCCUCCGGACAGACUCCUUUUCUUGAAGAAUAUAUAUAAAAAAUAAUAACAAAAAGAGAAGAUUGGAAAAGCUGGUCUGAUUUCUACUGCUUUGGUUAAAAAAUUUCUGGUGGAUUGAGUCAAUUUCGGACCUAAAUCGAAGUUGUGCUGUUGUUUGCGCAUCUCUGGGCUCUUCUCGUCUUCGCGCGCUUGAUUUGGCUUGUAAAUAUUUCGUUUGGUUGGCUUCAAAUUAGCUGAGUUUGAUCGUCUGGAUUUCAGACCUUUAUUUGGUCUCAGUUUCCAUUGAUUUCCUGUUUUAGGUAAGUUACACUAGUCUGUAAUCACUUAUUGAAUUUAUGACUGGAACAUGAGUUUGUUUAUGCUAAAUUACUGUUUCUACUUAUGUUUUUGAAAUGGUAUGUUCAAUUUGAAAUCAUUUGUCAUCUUAGUUGAGCUUUGCUUUUAGUGCUGACUGUUAGAGAUAUUGAUUCAAUUUGUGGUUUGAAGUUAGAAUCGAUUAGUCCAUGGAUUUGACCACUAGUUGGUCAAAUUCAACAAUUGAAGGUGUCUCAAGCCCAAAUCAAGCCAUUAUGAGACAUCGUGAGCUAAUGUUUGUCAAGUUGAAAGGCGUUGCGGAUGAAAUUGAAGGUUACAACUAUUAUAGCAAUUCAUCAAGUGUAGUAAACUUAAUCAGUCAGGAUUAUGUAGUUUGCUUUCUUAUUAUAGUUGUAAUCUAAUAAAAAAAGCCAUGUAGUUGUAAUUUGAAGUUUCCCUUAUAUGUGUAGUUCAUCUUUAAUUCCUGAAUAUUUGUUUGAUAAAAUGAUUCAAAUUAGUAUGAAUGUUUAAGCUGUUGUUUCGUUUUUCUAUCAUUGGUAAAUUGAGUAGUAGUAAAUAGACUUAACUAGAUGUUUGGAAAUUUGUUAAUCAGACUAGGAGAUGAAAGAGCAAUUCGUCUUUUCCAAUACUUGUAAAUGUUGAUGAAACGAGAGAGAGAAGAAGGAUGAUUGAGUUGCUUUUAGAAGUGGUUCUUCAUUUCUGUCAACGUACUUGAUCAUUGAGUUGUUUUGCAUAAAAAGCUUGGCAUAGUAAUACAUCUCUAAAAUUUUGUUCUGACUUCUGAGUCAUCAAAAGAGUUCUCGGUGGUUGAGAAGUGCUUUGUCCUGUGUCAUUUAGGAGCUUCUUAGGUAGCUUAUGUGAGAAACCACUAUGGAGGCCAAGCCAAUUCAUUUAGGCCAGUCUAAAUAAAUGAUCAAACGGAAUUCAUUUGGAUGUUGUUUGGGCUUGAAUAAAGGCCCAUAUGUCUUUCCUACAAUUAGGACUGGACCCAUGCACAAUCUCAAACCUUAGGAAAUAAUCACUUAUGAACACGUGUAGUUGCUUUAGGUGUGAUUAAUAAUAAAUCAUUGCGACUAUGGGUAUGGUUCCCAUGGCAUAGGUAUGAUACAUAAUUUUCAAAUUCGGGGUACAUUUAUGUGACCCGGCCACAACUUCUAAUAACUUUAACAAAUUAAACAUGUUGUAGAUCGUGGGUACGGUUCCCGUGGCAUGAUUCAUAAUGUGUAUCAAACAAACAAGUGUACGACAAUCGUAACUUGUUCCAUAAUAAUUCCAUAAAAUAAGUAAAAGCAGUUUAAAAGUUUAAAAAUGCACACUAGGUAAAUCAGAUAAUUAGGCAAAUUUUAAUAGUUUAAGCGACUGUGCUCGAACCACAGAACUCGGGAAUGCCUAACACCUUCUCCCGGGUUAACAGAAUUCCUUAUCUAGAAUUUCUUGUUUCGCAGACUUUUAAAUAAAGUCAAAUUUCCUCGAUUUGGGAUUUAAAAAUAAACCGGUGACUUGGGACACAAAAAUAAAUUAUUCCAAGUGGCGACUCUGAAAAAUAAAUAAAAUAAUCCCAUUUCAAUUUAUGUCACUUUAAUUGAAAAAAACUCCCUUAUAUCCCCCCUCGGGUGGUAAAAAGGAGGUGUGACAAACACAUGGAACACCGGAUGUAUUGUUGAUUUAACUAGGUGGCAAUGCAAGCAUGUAAACCACCUCUCCCACUCUCUCAAGAAUCUGAAAAGGUCCAAUGUACCUUGGGCUCAACCUGCGAUUCUUUCCGAACCUCAUCACACCCUUCAUGGGUGAAUGUCACGACCCAAAACUAACCCUGUCAUGAUGGCGCCUAACAUGGUACCAGGCAAGCCGACACACUACCAAAACCAAUCAAUAUUUUCAUUUUUAAAACAAAACCAAAGCUAUUUAACAAUAAACCUGCAUAAGGAGUUUCAAUCAAAACAAGAGUAUGGAAAGAAAGCCCGAUAACGGGGUGUCACUAGUCAUGAGCUUCUACUACAACCGUCUAACAACAUCAAGACUAACAUAACCUGCAAAUAACUGAAUACAACUAAGGGCGGAUAAGGAGGGAGAAAAGCAGGGCUGCGAUCGCUAGGCAACUACCUUACUAACUCCAAUGGACCUGUCACUGAGUAAUCAACACCCGCUACCGGGAUUAGAAAUACCUGGAUCUGCAUACAAGGUUCAGGGAGUAAUGUGAGUACACCAACUCAGUAUGUAAUAAAAGCAAAUAGAGACUGAGCAGUACUGACGAGCAAUAAAACAUAUACAGUUCAUAUCAUGAAAUCUCAGUAAAAUACAACAGACUUUUAAAAUCAGGGUUUUGAAUCAAUUCAACUCAUUUAAAUCCAGUUUCAGUAAAACCAUUUAAAAACAUCUUUCAAUACUUUUCAAACAAAGUGAUGAAACAGUGAGUAAAAAAAUGAUGAAAACAUAAUCAGCCCAUCGGGCAAAACUCACUCGUAUAUAGCCCCUUGAGCAACAUAAAUCAUAAACAGCCCUUCGGGCAAACAUCACUCAUAUACAACCCUUCGGGCAAACAUGAAUCAUAAACAAUCCCUCAGGCAUACCUCACAAUCACUCGUAAACAGCCCUUCGGGCACAACAUGAAUCAAGAACAGCCCCUUGGGCAAAAUAUCAUAUCACUCACUCAGGGUACCCGCGCUUACUAGGGGUGUACAAACUUCGGAGAGGCUCCUACAACCCAAGUGAUAUAACAAGCCACCUCGUGGCAUAAAUCAAUCAGGCCCUCAGCCUCAUAACAAGCCACCUCAUGGCAUAAAUCAUUCUGGCCCGCGGCCUCACAAAAAUCAUGAAUUAAUAACAAUAUGCUGCGGUAUGCAGUCCGAUCCCAUAAUAUCCUUACAACACAGGCCCUUGGUCUCACUCAGUCAGAAACCUCUCAAGCCACUCGGGCUAUCACUAACACAGGGUACUCAGCCCAAAAUAUCAUUUUAUGCAUCAUAAAGAAGUAAUAAAGACUGAGUUAUGAAAUCAGUAAACACAACAUGACUAAGUAUAUAUCUUAAAUCAAAAACAGUGAGAGGAUAAUAAGAAAAAGACCCUAAGGGUCCAAACAGCUCUGGCAUAAGGCCCAAAUAUGGCAUUCGGCCAAAUUUAUAGGAAAUUCUUUCUAAAACACAUAAGUAUCAUAUAAUUUAAGUCAAAUACACAAUUUUAUAGUUGCUACGGGACGGACCAAGUCACAAUCCCCAACGGUGCACGCCCACACGCUCGUCACCUAGCAUGUGCGUCACCUCAAAAUAGUAAAACAAUGUGAAAUCCGGGGUUUCAUACCCUCAGGACUAGAUUUACAAUCAUUACUUACCUCAAACAAGCCAAUUCCAAUACCGAGCAAGCCAAGCGAUGCUCCAAAAAUGCCAUCUCGCACGUUCCGACCUCCGAACGGAUCGAAACUAACAAAAAACAACUCAAAUACAUCAAACAAUGCUAAAGGAACUAAUCUCAAUCGAAAAUGUCAAAUCUUUAAUAAAAAGCCCAUAAUCGGCCAAAAAGCCUAGCCCGGUCUCGCUUCUCGAAACCUGAUAAAACUCACAACAUCCGACAACCCAUUCAGUUAUGAGUCCAACCAUACUAGUUUCAUCCAAUUCCGACUCCGAAUCGAUGUUCAAAAUUUAAAAAUUUAUUUUAAGAAACUUUAGGCAAAACCGCCCAAAUUUCACUUUGAAAUCAUCAAUCAAAUGCCAAAAACAAAGAUGGAUUUAUGAAAUAUAACUAAAACCGAGUAGAGAACACUUACCCCAAUCCAUAUGGUAAAAAUAGCCUCCAAAUCGCCCAAAUCUGAGCUCCCCAACUCAAAAUAUUACCAAAUGAACAAAUCCUUAUUUAUAUAUUUUUCUGCCAGCUAUUUUGCCUCAAUUCUCAUGUCAAAUGAUCCUGAAACUCACUUUUGAUGCCUCCAAUGGAUUCUUUGUGAAAUUUUAGUCAAGUUAGGCUCUUGAAUCACUCCAUUUGACCUUAUAUUGAAGGAGAUAUGUUGGUUUCAAUAUUUGAAAAUAGUGCAUAUUUUUAAAUACGAAUUCAGUGGUAAUUUCGUAAUUAAUUUGAAAAAUCUGACAACCCAAUUCUUAGUAAAAUGAUCAUAAAAUUCUCAUACGAUGUCCAAAUUCGAUGAUUCUUUUUAUAUGACUCCAUAAUUAUGAUACGGAUCUAAUGCUUCCAUAAAAAAAAAUAUCGGAGGUCAUUUGCUUAAUGUAGUACCAUUUAUGCUUGUAAAACGACGCCGAAACAUUAAAAAAACAAGCGCAACACAACCCAAACAUAUACGAAACUCACCCGAGCCCCUCGGGACCCUGUUUGAACAUACAAACAAGUCCCAUAUCAUAACACAGACCUACUCGAGGCCUCAAAACACACAUAACAACAUCCAAACGACGAAUCACACCUCAAUUCGAAAUCAAUGAACUUGAAACUUAAAACUUCCACAACCGAUGCCGAGACCUAUCAAAUUCCGUCCGAUUGACAUCAAAUUUUGCACAUUGGUCGUAUUUGACAUUAUGGACCUGAUCCAACUUCCGGAAUCAGAAUCCAACCCCGAUAUCAAAAAGUCCACUCCCGGUCAAACUCUCCAAAAUUCAAACUUUCGCUAUUUCAAGCCAAAUUCUACUACGGACCCCCAAUUCAAAAUCCGGACGCGCUCCUAAGUCCAAAAUCACCCAGCGGAGCUAACAAAACCAUCAGAAAUCCAAUCCGAGGUCAAAUUAUAGAAAUUCAAAACUUGGUUAAACCUUUCAAAUUUAAAGCUUCUAGCUGAGAAUCAUUCUUCCAAAUCAAUUCCAAAUAACCUAAAAGCCAAAACCGACGAUUCACAUAAGUCAUAAUACUUCAUAUGAAGAUACUUAUGCCCUCAAACAACUGAGCGAAGUUCAAAUGCUCAAAACAACAGGUCGGGUCGUUACAACCUCCCCUACUUAAACAUACGUUCGUCCUCGAACGUGGCAGGAGUUAUUCUAAAAGCCAUCAAAUCGCCGUGUAACCUCACUAUGCACAUACUCGAGGGUGAUCCCACAUCACCCUAUCCCAUAUUGGUCUGAUAACACAACAUGACUAAAAUUUGUUAAUCUAACCUAGUCCAUAAGUCUUAGGUCCCAAUUUCCAACUUUCGAAAUUUUCUAUAAGAUCAGAAUCUCGCAUCUACACACUGUAUAAGUCCGAACAAGCUAUAUCAAACCAUAUCCGUAACCCAAGAUGUAAUCACAUGAUACACCACAUAACUCAAACACUCAUGGCGAUAACUCCUAAUCACAGUAGUUUCUCAAAAUAACCCAAUACCAGUAAUACACCUCUUAACAAACAAAGCCUCGUUCUAACAUUUUAAUAUGCUGCCAAUGAUGAAAGAAACACGAAAAACUCAUAACUAUUCAUCAAAUCAACAAGUCAUGGAGCUCCCACUUCUCCGACCGGAACUAUAGCAGAAUUCUUAGUCAACUUCCGAUAUUAUCUUCCAACUAUGCUGUAACCAAUUCUGACAGUAUUCAUUCUAGGUCCAAUGACCUCAUCUCAUCCAACACGACCACUCUGAUGACAUGACAUAUCAAUACAAUCCAACGCCAUAACCUGUGCAACUCGUGCACCCAAUACCAACAUCCCAAAUGUACUCAAAUCGUGAAAAAAUGACUCAAAUGAGAGGACUGUCCCGCAAGCUUAACAAGUAAUGCCACAACGAAAUACUGAAAAUCUAUCACACCUCAUAGGACCAUCACUCGAAUCUAACACAAAGGUUCAUACCUUAACAUAAUUUCACUGCGAUGCAUGCCCCAUCCAAACAUGAAUCCAUGGCAUAUACCUCAAGAUACCUUGCAGAAAAUCAAUAACCACGCGUAAUUCGACAUCAAGUACUCAAAGUGCAUUACCAUAACCACGGAGAAGCUAAUGACAUAAUGCCACACAAAACGUGAAAGAGCAUAACCAAUACGCCAUCCACCAAGCAAACCCAAUACUUUUCCCGCUAAAAUUCCGCUAUAAGACCCCAAUAGAACCGCACCAUAUGUGUAUAUAACCAACAAAUCAUAAUCCCUCGUAACACAGAAGAGUAACUCAUAGAUCACUCCAGAACACAAAUAAACUCAACAACAAUCGAAUGGCACAUCCCUCAAUAAUAGCAGUUCAGAGUCAAUAAAUCCGACCUGAUGCAGAACACACAUCCAUAUUGGGCCUACCAAUGAACCCCAAAUCAACUCUUGUGAUGACCCAAAAGGUCAUCAUCACUUGUUUUAGAAAUAAAUUUUGUAUUCCGAGGCCUUAAGAACCUCUUUUUGUAUCACCUCAAUUUGCGUGCACAGUCCGGGCGUGAAUCCGAAAAGCUAUUAUGUGAAAAUUUGUGAAAAAUGAUAAAUUUUGCUUUUAAAAUGAAUUUAAGUUGACUUUGGUCAACAAUCUUCGUAAACGGACCUAGACCCGCGAUCCGACGGUCUUGUAGGGUCCGUAGUAAAAUUUGGGACUUGGUCAUAUAUCCGGAAUUGAAUUCCGAGGUCCCAAGCCCGAGAAAUUAAUUUUUAAAGAAAAUUAUUUUCUUGAAUAUAUAUGAGUUUUUGAAAAUAAAAUAUGUUUGAAUUUGAUGGUAUCGGGCCCGUAUUAUGGUUUCGGAGCCCGGUACAGGUCUUAUAUGAGAUUUAGGUUGAGCCUGUAAAAUUUGGUAAGAAACGAACUUGAUAUGACGUGAAUCGGACCACUGAUUGUUAAAAUUGGAACUUAAGAGUUCAUGAGAUUUUUCUUUGAUUUUGAUGCUAAAUUCAUACUUAUUUAUGUUAUUUUGAUGAUUUGAUCGUACCAGCAAGUCCGUAUGAUAUUUUCGGACUUGCGUGCAUGUUUGGUUUAGAGCCCCAGGGCUCGGGUAAAUUUUGGAUAGGCCACCGAGUGUUUUGAACUUAGGAAAAACUUCUGGUAUAUUGCAGAUCUGCAGGCUUCGCAAUUGCGAGCUUGCAUUUGCGAAUAACCCCUCGCAUUUGCAAAGCUUAUGUCACCAAUGCAACCUUGACAUGUACCGCAAUUGCGAACACUGUUCACAUUUGCGAAGAAAGCAGACAUAGGCCCUUCUUCGCAAUUGCGAAGCUUUGGCCGCAAUUGCGAGUUCGCAUUUGAGAACCAGGCUUCGCAAUUGCGAUAUCCGCGCCUGUGUAAAUCAUGACUUAACCGAAAAUCUCUCAUUUUUCAAACCUUCUCAAAACCUAAACACCUUUGGGCCAUUUUUCAAAGAGAAGUACUCUUCCAAAUCGAUUGUAAGUCAGUUCUAACUCGUUUUCAUUAAUCUUUAACAUCUAUUCACAUGAUUUCAACUCAAAAUCAAGGGUUUUCAUAGGGGAAAUUGGGUGUUUUGGGUCGAACUUAGGUUUUUCAAAUUUUGAGGAUUUGGACCUAGAUUUGAGGUCUAAUUUCAAAAAAAAUUAUAUAUUUGGGUUCGUAGGUGAAUGGUUAAUCGGGUUUUGGUUUGAAACUCGGGUUUUGACCAUGUGGGCCCGAGAUCGAUUUUUGACUUUUUGGGAAAAACUUUAGAAAACUUAUUUUCAUGCAUUAGAAUUGAUCCAUUUAGCAUUUAUUGAUAUAAUUAAGUAACUUGUGGCUAGAUACAAAUGAAUUGGUGGUGGAAACAAGAGGUAAAUCGGUAGUUGAUGCUUGAAUUGUGUUCGUGGCAUCGAGGUAAGUGUUUGGUCUAACCUUAGCUUGAGGGAUAAGGAGUUGUGUACUAUUUGCUAUGUGUUAGUUGUUGAGUACGACAUAUAGGCAUGAUGACGAGUAUCUAUAUGUUGGUGUCAAGCAUGCCCGUGAGUCUUAUACUAUAAUUAAUGUGACUCCGUUUGUAUUGUUUAUGCUUAUGAGAUGAUUUCUAUUGUUGAGCAAGGCUUGUGGAAGUAAUAUUGGUAUUUGAACAUUGAAGAGCGUUGGCUCAAGUUGUAAAAUGAUUUGUGGAAGUAUAAUUGACAAUUGAACAUUAUAGAGAGUUGGCUCAAAUUGUGAAUUGAGUUGUAAAGUAAAUGUGAAAAAGAAAAGAGGAUUAUGAUAUUGUCUCCCUUGCCGGGAUGUUAUUGUUUUGAUAUUGUUUUCCCUUGCCGGGAUAUGAUUGUUGUACUAUUGUUCCCUUGCCGGGAUUUUAUUAUGAUUUUAUUGAUUCCCUUGCCCUUAUUGCUUUGUGAUUGUUGUUUGGGUAAGGAAGAGUGUUAAAGCAUGAAGGGUGAUGCGGUGCAUGAUUUUUGUGAGAGAGUGUCAAAGCACGAAGGGUGAUGCCGUGUAUGAUAUUUGUGAGAGAGUGUUAAUGCACGAAGAGUGAUGCCGUGCCACAUGAUGUACAAUUCUAUGCCUUUAUAUGAGUGAUAAUGCACGAAGGAUCAUUUCGUGCCAUGAUUGUGUGAGGUAAAAGAACGAAGGGUGAUGCCGUGCAAAUUUUAUUGAUUUUAUGGUGAGGACAAGAGUAAAAGCACGAAGAGUGAUGCCAUGCACUUGUCUUUGAUUUUCCUGAUUUCUAUUAAUAAUUGAGUUGUGGUGUUCUUUACAUUUAACUGUUGGUUUCAGUUGCUACUUGUUGUUUCCCCGCAGCAUGAUUCCCCCUUCCUAUCUUUAAUUAUAAAGUUUUGCUUUUAUUUACCGCUGUAUAUGAUUUAACUGCACAGGUUUACUUGGUAGUCUGGUCGUAGCCUCGUUACUACUUCGUCGAGGUUAGGCUAUGCACUUACUAGGAGAUGGGGUCGGUUGUGCUGAUACUACACUCUGUACUGUGUGCAGAUCCCGGUACUGGAGCAUACAGACCUUAGCUUUGGGGUGCUGUCUUCAGUCCAUUCGGAGAUCCGAGGUAGUCUUGCAGGCAUCCAAGGCACUGGCGUCUCCUUCUAUCCUUUCAUCCUGUUUCAUUUAUGUAUUUCAGGGACAUCAUUGUAUUUUUUUUUUUGGGCCCUUAUUUGUAGUAAUCCUAGACCGUCUGUGAAAUUGUGACACCAGUUCUAGGUG
rnacentral:lncRNA from 1 species